rnacentral:rRNA from 1 species
GUCGAGAAUCUUUCACAAUGGGGGCAACCCUGAUGGAGCGACGCCGCGUGGAGGAUAAGGUCUUCGGAUUGUAAACUCCUGUCAUGCGUGAACAAGGUUGCUUGGUUAAUACCUGGGCAAAUUGAUGGUAACGCAAGAGGAAGAGACGGCUAACUCUGUGCCAGCAGCCGCGGUAAUACAGAGGUCUCAAGCGUUGUUCGGAAUCACUGGGCGUAAAGGGUGCGUAGGUGGCGUGGCAAGUCAGAUGUGAAAGCCCGGGGCUCAACCUCGGAACUGCAUCCGAUACUGCCAUGCUAGAGUACUGGAGGGGUGACGAGAAUUAUCGGUGUAGCAGUGAAAUGCGUAGAUAUCGAGAGGAAUACAAAAGGCGUAGGCAGGUCACUGGACAGUUACUGACACUGAGGCACGAAGGCCAGGGGAGCGAACGGGAUUAGAAACCCGUGUAGUCC